ACUCAAAGGAAUUGACGGGGGCCCGCACAAGCGGUGGAGCAUGUGGUUUAAUUCGAUGCAACGCGAAAAACCUUACCUACCCUUGACAUCCUUAGAAUCCUAUAGAGAUAUGGGAGUGCUUCGGAACUAAGAGACAGGUGCUGCAUGGCUGUCGUCAGCUCGUGUCGUGAGAUGUUGGGUUAAGUCCCGUAACGAGCGCAACCCCUAUACUUAGUUGCUAGCUGCGAAAGCGGCGCACUCUAAGUAGACUGCCGGUGACAAACCGGAGGAAGGUGGGGAUGAUGUCAAGUCAUCAUGGCCCUUAUGGGUAGGGCUACACACGUGCUACAAUGGGCAGUACAGAGGGCGUUGAAACCGCGAGGUGGAACAAAUCCCGAAAAGCUGUUCAUAGUCCGGAUUGGAGUCUGCAACUCGACUCCAUGAAGUUGGAAUCGCUAGUAAUCGCAAAUCAGCAUGUUGCGGUGAAUACGUUCCCGGGCCUUGCACACACCGCCCGU
rnacentral:rRNA from 1 species